GCCGACAUAGCUCAGCUGGUAGAGCAGCGGUUUUGUAAACCGUUGGUCGGGAGUUCGAAUCUCUCUGUCGGCACCA
rnacentral:tRNA from 1 species